GACGAACGCUGGCGGCGUGCCUAACACAUGCAAGUCAGGGGGAAAGCUGGCUUCGGCCAGGCUUAACACAUGCAAGUCAAGGAGAAAGUCUCUUCGGAGGCGAGUAAACUGGCGCACGGGUGAGUAACGCGUGAGGAACCUACCCAUAUGUCUGGGAUAACCUGCUGAAAAGCGGGCUAAUACUGGAUAUAUUGUUUACUGCAUGGUGAACAAGGAAAGUUGGUGCAAGCUAACGCAUAUGGAUGGUCUCGCGUCUGAUUAGCUAGUUGGUGAGGUAAAUGCUCACCAAGGCGACGAUCAGUAGCCGGUCUGAGAGGGUGGCCGGCCACACUGGGACUGAGACACGGCCCAGACUCCUACGGGAGGCAGCAGUGGGGAAUAUUGCACAAUGGGGGCAACCCUGAUGCAGCGACGCCGCGUGAACGAGGAAGGCCUUCGGGUCGUAAAGUUCUUUCGACGGGGAAGAAAUGUUAUACGAGUAACUGCGUAUAAUUUGACGGUACCCGUAGAAGCAGCCCCGGCUAACUCCGUGCCAGCAGCCGCGGUAAUACGGAGGGGGCGAGCGUUGUUCGGAGUUACUGGGCGUAAAGCGCACGUAUGCGGUG
rnacentral:rRNA from 1 species